rnacentral:lncRNA from 1 species
CGGGAAGUUCAGAGUCUCCCCCUGUUGUCAUGGUCUGACCCCUAGACCUGGCCUCUAAUGGACCUGUGGCUUUUCACAGCAAUUGACAUUUUCCAAGGACCCAAUCCUUACCCUCUCAAGGCCAACUCAAGAGUAAUUUCCUUCUCUGUUCUGAAAGUCCUCAUCCCCAACGCACUCACUGAUGCUCUGGUUUCUGGCUUAUUUGUCAAACGGGAUGGCAAACAAAGCUGAUGGGGCUACCCAGCACCUAAUGACUCAGAUAUCUGAUCCUCCUCAUCCUCCGGGGCAGCUCCUUGGGGAGAGGGCUCCCAGAAUUAACUGCAAGCAUGGCAGUUUGGCCAGAUGAAAGCACACAAACACUCCUCUGAGACAAAAGCUGAUGAUACCAACACUGUGGUUGGGGGUAUGUGUUGGGGGUUUGGAGGAGGUGCCCUGGAACCCUGAAAUGGGAAACCAUGGAGGCCUUGGCAGCGGUGAGUAUGGCUGGGGUCUCAGCUGGGCUGAGACUGGAACUUAUGGAGGCAAAUGGAGGACAAGAAGUGGGUCCCCAAUAUUAAGCCAGGUCCAAGACAUGAAAAUCAAGUCCCUAGAGGUCUAAGUCUUCUCUGCCCAUCAAAGAGGUUGAGAUCACUGACUUUUUUUCUCAGGAUACCCUUCAAUAAAGAUGAAGUAAUAAAGAUCAUGUGCACAGCAAAAGUGGACCUAGGCUGGCCAGCAGACCGGGCUCAAGGAAGCCACCCAGCAGGGGGCCACAUCCCAGUCUAGACCUCUUGUCUUCUCAUUUGGAGUCCAGAGCAAAUUUCUCCAGUUCCUUCCAGUUAACAAUACACCUGCUGGUCUAGAAUGCUCAAGAAUCCAGAAGAACAUGCUAAAUGAACCUACUAAUUCCCUUUGAAAUUCUUGAAUUUUAAAUGUACAUUUGUUUGCACACCAUAUAAACGCUGAUAUUUGCCUGGUAGCCUCUCCUCUAUGCACAUUAUCCUUUCCAUCCAGAUAAUGAAAGCUGCUCAAAUUAACAAGUCACAGAAACACAGAUGUACUAUUUUUUUUGUGCACAAUUAUGAAAUUUAGAGGUUUAUGCCAUUAGUCU